ensembl:lncRNA
GAAUGUGAAUAAAUAGCAGAGUGCAGUAAACGCUCGACGUUCUACAGGGAAACUUCACCUUUAAGCUACAACACAAGGACACACACCAUAUGGCCACACACACACACACACACACACACACACACACACACACACACGACAAUCGCCCUUGGUGUUUAUCUCUAAAAUGUCUACAUGUGACACCGGGGUCAGUGGGGUCAUAAACACUCACCACUCUACUGUACGACCGCCAAAGAACUGAAAGAAAGAACUGAGCGAAUGAACAAAAGAAAGAAGCGACGGAAGAACAAAGUAAAUGAGAAACCCGAGUGAAGGAACCGAACGAGAACCGCGCAAAUGAAGAAAAGAAAGAACGCAAUGACGGAAUAAUUCGAAUGAAAGAACGGAAUGAAAGCACGAACAAAAUAACUAGAAGAACCCAAGGAAAGAAAGAAAGAAAGAGAGGAAUUGUGGGUAAAUGUUUCGUUAGUACACUAGUCACACUGCUCAAGCGUUUCUGUUUUUGUUAAACGAGGAACGCAGGAACAUCUCGCCGAUUGAAAUCCACCUCCUGCUCAUUUGUUUGUUCUUGAACUCCAGCGUGGACAGAAAAGGAAAAGGAAACUCUAAACACAGCUACGAAAGCAACACACGGCUCGCACCGUAACACCAUAACGCCACACCGAGAGCUUAAACGGAGAAACCCGUUAAAGGGAACACGCCACAGGUGACACUGGUAAAGUAACAAGCACACCAGAACAGGAAACAGCGACCAUAUAAGGACAAGUGGAGCGCUAAACGGGAGGAACCGUGAACGAAGAAGCCGGCAGGACGACAGAACCGAACUGUGACACAUUUAUUAUCAGACGUAUAUUAAACAUCUGUAACCAUAUCUACUUGCUGCUAUACAACAUUAUAUUUAUUUAUUAUAAAUUUAUUAUAUUUCUACAGAUGAAUAUUAACCUUUUUUUUUUUUAAAUAGUUCAAAUAUAAAUCCUCUUGGAUUAACACACGUACCUUUAAGCUUUCUUUUUAUGUUUUUUUUUUUUUUAAAGCAAUUAAUUUAGAACACGCUCUAAAAUAAACACACACACACACACACACACACACACACACGGAGAUGACUGACGGUUGUUUUGCUGCCGAAAAGCAAAGUAAGAACCGAUUUCUGGCAACCGAGGAUACAUUUUUAAAUCUCAAAAUAACUUCCCCGCUCUCGGCUGUUGGCCUGCAGUGUGUGUGUGUGUGUGUGUGCGUGUGUGUGUGUGUGUGUGUGUGAGAGUGUGUGAGAGUGUGUGUGAGUGCUUAAUCAGAGUUAUGUACAGCUCAAAGGAGGAUUAGGCCAAACGCCACACCCCGAGGCCCAGCGUGUACCACUUAAAUCCGUUACAAUUAAAAAUAAACACAAACAAAAACACCAACAAACCGACGAACCGACGAACCGACGAACCCCUUCUCACUUCAUGUGUCUUUUCUGUUGCUCGUAUUAAAUAAAUAAAUAAAUAAAUAACUUCACAGUGGAGCUUCAGACCGCUCGAAUAGUUUUACACUGUUAGUGUCUCUCUCUCUCUCUCUCUCUCUCUCUCUCUCUCUAUCUGUCUCUGUGUCUCUCUCUGUGUCUGUCUUUCUCUCUCUCUGUGUGUCUUUCUCUCUCUCUCUGUGUCUUUCUCUAUCUCUCUCUCUGUGUCUGUCUUUCUCUAUCUCUCUCUGUGUGUCUGUCUUUCUCUAUCUCUCUCUGUGUGUCUUUAUCUCUCUCUCUCUGUCUCUCUUUCUCUAUCUCUCUCUCUGUGUCUCUGUCUUUAUCUCUCUCUCUCUGUGUCUCUCUUUCUCUAUCUCUCUGUGUCUCUGUCUUUAUCUCUCUCUCUAUCUCUCUGUCUCUCUUUCUCUAUCUCUCUCUCUCUCUGUGUCUCUCUUUCUCUAUCUCUCUCUCUCUGUGUCUGUCUUUCUCUCUCUAUCUCUCUCUGUGUCUCUUUCUCUAUCUCUCUCUCUGUGUCUCUCUUUCUCUAUCUCUCUCUCUAUCUCUCUCUAUGUCUCUCUUUCUCUAUCUCUCUCUGUGUCUCUUUCUCUCUCUCUGUCUUUAUCUCUAUCUCUCUCUCUGUGUCUCUCUGUCUUUCUCUAUCUCUCUCUGUGUGUCUCUCUCUGUCUCUCCCUCUCUCUCUCCCUCUCUCUCUCAUGUCAGCUGGUACAGAAUGAGUUCAUACCUUUAUCUCUCUCUGUCUUUCUCUAUCUCUCUCUGUCUCUCCCUCUCUCUCUCCCUCUCUCUCUCAUGUCAGCUGGUACAGAAUGAGUUCAUACCUUUAGGUCAGAUGUUAUUGUUUAAAACGUCUGAUUAAACGUGUACACAGUUACACAAGUAAAGCAGUCUCAUUUAGCGGACUCUUUCGUACGGAGGACUAGUAAUAAUCUUACAUCUGGCCACUGUUUGGUGACUCUAAAACAGCGGCUCCUUGCUAAAACUGAAGAUACGUAAACUCCUGAGGAGCACGCUUUGUGUAAGAGGCGUUCAGCACUUUGGCACUGUGGUUUCCUGAAAGGCUUUGAAUUUGAAUUUUAUAUAACAACAUAAAAUAUUCGAAUUGAACGUGUCAUGCUGAUUUAUUAACGAAUACACGACGUGUACAGGAAAUGUGGUUUGGUUUAUUCUCCGGUGUUAGUUUUUUUCCUCGGUCGCCUCGGUACAUUUCCCCGAAUCGCGCUUAACAUUCAAGUGCGUUUAAGUAAGCGCUUUUCUCCGAACACCACACAACGCAAACGCUCCCUGCAAAAGCAUGCAACUUGCUCGGAAUCAUCUCUCGGAAGUAAAUAUUUCAGUCUGGGAACAUCUCCGGGCCGUGAGAACGCCAAGGUAGAGAGAACGCGUAGCCGUGUUGUCAAUAUAACAGCGUACUCACACUGCCAGUAUCUCCUACUGUCUAUACAUCUAGGAGAACUGGCUCAGCCGUGUCGCACCGAAUGAUUUAUGCAGUGAAGUGAUGUCCAGAUGUUCUGGGGGGUAAAGACUUUUCCACAGAGAAGCAGUAUAAUAUAUUUUGAUGAACAUGACAGAAGCAGUUGAUAAUGUAGGGAACUGCAAACAGCUGCACAUAAUCAACUGCAUGAACGUGACUAGAUGAUGAGGAGGUUGAAGACGUGGUGCUGACAGUUUCAGUUCUGAUCCGAGAAAUGUACCGAAGCAGCUGAGAAAAACUGCCCGUGUUCCACAGCGUCGUCUUUACCUCCCCAUUCCCUGUGCACGCAGCUGCGGAGACAUGACAGACACGGAAGACAGACAGACAGACAGACAGACAGACAGACAGACAGAUAGAAAGAUCGAUAGAUAGAUAGAUAGAUAGACAGAUAGAUAGAAAGAUCAAUAGAUAGAUAGACAGAUAGCUUGAUAGAUAGAUAGACAGAUAGACAGAUAUAGAUCAAGAGAUAGACAGACAUAGAUAGAUAGAUCAAUAGAUAGAUAGAAAGAUCAAUAGAUAGAUAGACAGACAGACAGAUAGAUAGAUAGAUCGAUCAAUAGAUAGAUAGACAGAUAG